CCUUCAUUAAAACAACGAGCAAGCAACGUCAUUAAAGAAAGCUUAGAUAGUUUCACUUUAUGCUUUUUGACCGAGUUUAACGUUGAGUCAAAAGAGCGAGCAUAACAUUAGUGCUACACCACCGAAAUUAAACACAGUGUUGCGAUUUGGUCCUGUAGGAAAGGUUACCAGUUUUGUGGCAACCGGUGCCUACUACGGGCUUUUGCUACCAAACAAACUCAGGCAGCUACAUGGCUACAAGGUAGGCCCUAAAACUUUGGACUACAGUGAUGACGUCUUUUUGCAGACCAACUCGGAAGUUUCUUCCGCCAUGAGUUCCCUCGGUAGAUUUCCCAUAGGGAUUUAGUUUUCUGCGGAAAUUAAGGUCUAUGGUUAACGUACGUCUGAGGGACUUCAAAGUUUUGUUAAAUUACACAAAUUGUUAUCGCAACCGUGAAUUUCGAAGCCGUCAUGUGUUUUGGUAAGUGGUAAAAUGGUAAGUUGCUAUAUUGAAACUACAACGGUUGUCGCGUGCGGGCGGGCUAGUAUGGGAACCAACAUUCUCUUCAGAUGGUAACACUAUGCGAGGAGGAUCCCUCAGACACAGACUUGGGUGAACGUAUAGGAAUUAGUUGGCUGCCUCCUGUCCAUAAGGGUGCCAUCUGCCUGAGCCUUUGUCUGCUGCCACCAAACUCGGAGGCAUGGCCAAGUGGCUCUCCAUCUGGCUUUAGGUAGACACCAGCACCAGGCCAACUGUCAGCAUCAUCCUGUUCCACUCUACCAACCGGGGCAGAAGGUACAUCCCUCCACCCAUUAUCUUCCUCGCCAGGUGGAGUCUUGGAAUAUGGCUCCCAGGUUCAUCGACUCUUCAAAAUCCUGCAUACUGUAUCAGUCCGGUUACCUACAAACUCCUCCUGCCGCAGUUCAUGCAGUUCCACCCUGCCUUCUAAGUGAGGCCCACCGCCUCAAGCCGGUAGUGUCCAGCCCCUUGGCCCUGCCCACCCAACAGCCACCACCUCCUCCGAUCAUCGAGGGGCAGCUCACUUAAAUGGUCCACCGCAUCCUUGCCAGUCAUCGAGUGAGAUGGCCUAGGUUCUAUCUGCCCUUGAUAUCCUGGAACCCCAGCUCAUCCGUGACCUCCGCCAACGGUGUCCCAGGGGAAGGUCGAGGGCCGUUCCUCAGAGGGGGUAAUGCUCUAUGCUAUGAAAGGCACACAGGGGUAUUGCAUUGCAUUCAUCGCCAAUCCUGACCAGUUCAGCUUAUUUUUGGCCAAUGGGAUGUUGGUGCCAAUGUCAUAUUUUCUAUAGAGCAGGCAGGUUAUUCUAGCAGUCAAUUUCUAUGCCUUAGCAUUCCAUAAGAUUAUUGUAUAGGUUUACCUCUUGGAGGCUCACAGCAUAGGUUGGCUUAGGGUGUGCUUUCCCAUCUUGUUAAUGUUAGUCUUACCACAAGGUACAUUUACUGUCUGAUCCAGUCUCCCAAUAUACUAGCACACCAAACAUGUAAUUAAUAACCACACUUGUCUUUCAAACGGUUACAUAGAAAGGUUUUGAUGUAUCUGUUAUUCUCAUCAGCAAGUAAGUUUCAUUUUAACCUCAGGGAUGUAUUGUUAUUGAGUGACCCAAAUCAAAAAUUUAAAGAUUUUUACUGGCACCUCCAUACUCAUUCAUUAAUUAUACACAGGGCAGGAAGAGAAGGGAAAAUCCCUCCCCUUUCUUCCAAACACAUAAAUUGUUGUGCAUGCAUGGACGUAUCUGUCUUUUUUAGAUCUCAGUCUUGGGUCAUUGGUCAAUGGUCCCUGGUAAAUCUGCUGAUUCCUCUCACUGGCACUCACUAUUGCUUCUGGUUACGAAUUAUUGCCUGUUUUUCUGUCCUGUUCUCUGUACCCGUUAUGUGCUUUUGCCUGUCUGGAUCUUUUGGAUUGUGUUGGAUUUUCGACUAUCACCUGUAUUGUGGUUUAAGAGACUUUGCUGAUUCUGCUGCUCUGUUGUGUGAUAAUAAACCGCCAAGUUUUUCCCUGAUUUUUCUGAUCUGCUUUUGAGUGAUACCCCAGAACCUGACAAACUUAUUGGCUGGCUGCAUGUACCUGUUGCAUUUUGGGAUAUACAAGGAGCGACAAGCUGUGACCAGCUUUUGGUGAUGAAGGAUCACAGCCAUUUGUAUAAAACAGGGAAAUUUGCCAAUUUGGCAGUCAUGCUUGAAACGGAAGAAGCUUAUAUAUGACCUUGGCUCACAAACUGUCUCUAUUCUAGACCAACACGCCUGUCAAGGUCCA